AACAAACGCUGGCGGCGUGUCUUAAGCAUGCAAGUUGAGCGGCAAGGAGGAGAGAUCCUCCCUAGAGCGGCGGACUGGUGAGUAACGCGUGGGUAAUCUAUCGUAGGCAUGGGGAUAGUCACUAGAAAUAGUGGGUAAUACCGAAUACGUUCCAUGAGGGGAGUACUUAUGGAAGAAAGGGUGCUAUGGCACUGGCCUUAGGUGAGCUCGCGUCCCAUUAGCUAGUUGGUGAGGUAAAGGCCCACCAAGGCGAUGAUGGGUAGCCGGCCUGAGAGGGUGUACGGCCACACUGGGACUGAGACACGGCCCAGACUCCUACGGGGGGCAGCAGUGGGGGAGUCUUGCACAAUGGGCGAAAGCCUGAUGCAGCGACGCCGCGUGAGCGAAGAAGGCCUCGGUUGUAAGACUCUGUCUGGAGGGACGGAACGAAAAUAGACGGUACCGUCCGGACGGAACGGACCGACCGGCGUAACUACGUAGCCGACGCACGCCGCGGUAAGUACUAGUCUACGU
rnacentral:rRNA from 1 species